rnacentral:misc_RNA from 1 species
CUACAAUUCAAAAUCACAAUUCUGUGAAAAUACACUUAUACAGAUUUUAUAAAAAAAGUUGCUAAAUAUUAAAAUUGUUUAUAUAUCAUAUUUUUUAAGAAUCGUUCUUUUGUCAGAAACGGUGAUUGCGCAGAAGCCUAGAGCAUAUUGUCAGAUGACACAGUUAACCCUCUGCGACCCUAAGUGCGUGUUCCGUCCUCAACUGGUUAAUUUGACGGUGGAUAUAAUAAUUUAAUAAAAUAUUUGCCCUGUGCAGAGGAUAACAGCUUUAAAAGACUCGAGCGAGCUUUAGAGGCGCGCGGACGUAUAGGCACCUGCUAAGUCCUUUGAGGGAUAACGCGUACUCUCCGAACUUGUUAUCUAACUAUAAGUGUAUCAGUGCUAAUAUAGCAUAUUUUUAUAUUUCACAUCUAAACUUCAGCUCCAGCAGUAACAGAAUGACAUCACCAGCAAUAAGUAAAUCACCAGAAAAACAAAAAAGUCAAAAUAAAUCACCAACGCAUUCUAUAAAUGCUGAACAAGCACCAUCUAACGGGGAUUCAACCGUAACAGCAUCAUCGAGUACGCAGCAAUCGGAUCCUUGUAGCUGGUUUCGAAUAUUUAAACUUGCUGACCUCAUGAUGAAACAAGGAUGUUAAAUUUCUAUAGAAAUAUUUUAUUUCUAGAGAAAUCUAAUCUUUAUUAGACACACUUAUUGAUUUGUAGAGUAGACAGAAAGUAGUUUACUGAUAUUAUCCAGGACAUAAAUAUAUCUUAGAAAAUGUUAUCAACACAAUUAACUUCUACCGGUAAUAAAACAAUUAUUUAGAAAAAAAAAUGAAUAGAUGUAGAAUCCAAUAUUUAUAGAAGAAACUAUUGUUGUAUCUACAACUUUAAUAUUUUAUAUGUUAUUUUAUAUUUAAGUUUCUAUUUAAAAAUGCAUCGAAUUUAAUUUAUUAUAAUUAAUAUUCUAAUAAUUAUAUUGAAUUAUUUGUAUUUUUUUGGACGAUAUUUUACGACUAUAUUGUGAAGGUGAGCAAUAUAAUUUAUAAAUAAUACACUUUGAAAAUGAUAAUUACAGUCAUUGAUCAAAAUGAUCACAAAGAAACGUUGAUUAUAAUUUUAUAGUAAAAAUAAAUAUAAACAAACAUUUUAUCAAUUGAUUUUUAAAUUAGCUACUCUUCAGCCUGUGAUAUCCCACACCUGGGCAUAGGCCUCUUUCCCCAUUUAGGAGAAGGAUCAGAGCUUAAUCCUCCACGCUGCUCCAAUGCGGGUUGGCGGAUAUAUAUAUGGCGGAUAUAUACUAUGAGUAACGAUCGCUAUCAGGUGUACAUGAUAACAACCAGGACCGACAGCUUAACAUGCUCUCCGAGGCAAGGUGGGGAGACCCACAAGGACUGCAAAAACACCCAGACCACGGCAAACAUCUGCAUAGCCAAUACAAAUGUUUGUUAUGUGGGGGCCAUCGAACCCGCAAUCGCAACAAACCAGUGCUGUGAUCGUUGCGCCAACGCGUCAUCAAGUCGUUUUAAUUAGCAAAUCGUAAUUAUAUAUUUCUACAAAUGAUUUACAAUUUAAAAUUAGUUUGUCUUAAUGCAUGCAAAGUAACGCAUUUGUCACGUGACAUAUAUUUCAUAAAAAUUACUUCUAUUACCUAUUUAUUAAAUAAUCCAUUUGCAUUAAGAAAAUAGUUAGGAAAAACUACAAAUCGCCUGACUACCUGUUAUACUAAUAACAAUUGAAAAAUAGCAUCUUGGUAUUGAUAUGGCAAAAAAGUACGUUUAAUUGCUAACCUGAGUAAGUCAACUUCAUUAUUACCUACUAAUUAAAUUUUUGAGAAGAAUUAUGCGCAACAAAAUUCGACUAUAAAUCGGUCAAUACUAAGUUACAUGUAUUGUGGCUCUGUGAUAAUAUUCUGUGCCUCCUGUGACAAGUGAUACAAAUCAACAAUCCUAAUUUUACAGAAGAGCAAAAACGAGGCAUAAUUUUUUUUUUUUAAAUAUUUUUUUUUGUUCUCACUCUUCUAUUCACAUAAUUUACUUGAAUUUUACCACUUUACGAAAGUUUCAGGUUCAAAAGGACUACUAACUCUCUAGAUACAUCAGUAUUCACGAAAAAUGUACUGAAAAUCAAUUGUGAAAUUUAAAACAAUCGUACUUAA